rnacentral:rRNA from 1 species
UACGUAGGGUCCGAGCGUUGUCCGGAAUUACUGGGCGUAAAGAGCUCGUAGGUGGUUUGUCGCGUUGUUCGUGAAAACUCACAGCUCAACUGUGGGCGUGCGGGCGAUACGGGCAGACUUGAGUACUGCAGGGGAGACUGGAAUUCCUGGUGUAGCGGUGGAAUGCGCAGAUAUCAGGAGGAACACCGGUGGCGAAGGCGGGUCUCUGGGCAGUAACUGACGCUGAGGAGCGAAAGCGUGGGGAGCGAUCCGG